rnacentral:lncRNA from 1 species
GUGUCGGUAUGUCUGCAUGGAUUGGACUCGUAAUGACCUGAAACUCUUCUCCUACUACCAUGGUACAUGUCGGUGUACGAUGUGUCGGUAUGUCUGCAUGGAUUGGACUCGUAAUGACCUGAAAUAUCAAUCCUUGGUUUUUAGAUGAUGCAGAGCUCAAUUAAGUUAUCACGGUCAUAAACUUAUUUCAGGCGAGUAAUAUUGAAUGGUCUCUUUUGUCAUGUUCUGUAAAAUUUUCAUUUGAUAAUAAUUUAUUGUUAUUAAUGUUUUCUUUGGAGGGAAAAUCAUUUUUUUAACAUAUGCUAAGGAGAUCCAUAUAUGCAAGUUAGAAGGGGUGAAGCACUAAUGGAAUACCAAAAAGCUUUUACUAGAAACUAUAAAGAAAGAUCUAGAAUACCUUCAAUUUAAUUAAGGAUAUGAAUUUCUGUGUAUCUCAAUGGUGGUAAAGGAUUUUAUGUACUCGGCCCCAAAUAGUUGGAAUAUCAUGCCUUUGUUACCAAGAUAGGUGUUGGCAUGGCCAUGGGCAUACUUUUCAAAAUCACCGCUUCAACUUAUGAGUUUUCCCUGUCAGGCUGAUAAAAUAAAUAAAAGUACGCAUUUGUGAAACAGAAGAUAUGUUGAAAUGGUAUGUAAAACCUAAUUAAAAAUUUGGUAUAUCUCUUUUUAUCGACAAUCACUUAUGUGUAAACCCGUUCAUAAGUUUCUUAUGUAAAACUUCUCUAGAUAUUUCUUAGCUGUUUCUUGUAAAAAAUAUGCAAGGGACUUGUUUUGGUAAAUGGGAAGAAGGCAUAGGACAGACUUGAUGAGGUUAGGAUAGAGAGAUGGGUCUCGUAGGGCAUGGAGGUGUAGCUAAAAUGGAUAAAAAAGAUCAGCAAUAAAAAUGGAUGUAAGCUGGAUUUAUCUCAUACUUUCAGUGGUAGAGGUGUAGGAGAGACAAAGCUUUAACAAGUCAGAAGUUGGUAUAGCCAAGGAUUGCCAUUUUGGGUACUAGAUCGGUUUUAGUAUCGGUGUUUCGGAGAGCAAUAAAAAGGAGAAGAGGAAGGGGCGAUGGAGGAAGGGGAGGGAGCAAGAAGAAGGAAGGAAGAGGAGGGAAGAAGAGGAGAUGAUGGAGGAAGAGGAACGAGGAAGAGAAACAAAGAGGAAGGGGGAAGAGGAGAAGAGGCAUACUUGGUAAGCGACUCUGUGCUGUGAGGGUGUGUGACGAGGUUAUGCGAUAUAUCAUCCUGCAUGAGAUUAGGGCAAAGGUGGUGCAUGAUGGUGGUGUGUGGUGAGGUCACGGACUCGUGACGUGCAUUAGAAACUCUAAAUCAUAGACUGUUGUUUCCUUUUUAAUAUGAGCG